rnacentral:rRNA from 1 species
AGUGAACGCUGGCGGUAGGCCUAACACAUGCAAGUCGAACGGCAGCACAGGAGAGCUUGCUCUCUGGGUGGCGAGUGGCGGACGGGUGAGGAAUACAUCGGAAUCUACUCUGUCGUGGGGGAUAACGUAGGGAAACUUACGCUAAUACCGCAUACGACCUACGGGUGAAAGCAGGGGACCUUCGGUCCUUGCGCGAGUGAAUGAGCCGAUGUCGGAUUAGCUAGUUGGCGGGGUAAAGGACCACCAAGGCGACGAUCCGUAGCUGGUCUGAGAGGAUGAUCAGCCACACUGGAACUGCGACACGGUCCAGACUCCUACGGGAGGAAGCAGUGGGGAAUAUUGGACAAUGGGCGCAAGCCUGAUCCAGCCAUACCGCGUGGGUGAAGAAGGCCUUCGGGUUGUAAAGCCCUUUUGUUGGGAAAGAAAUCCAGCUGGCUAAUACCCGGUUGGGAUGACGGUACCCAAAGAAUAAGCACCGGCUAACUUCGUGCCAGCCGCCGCCGUAA